AGCUCAGUACUGACAUUGAUCCGCAAGAAGCUCAACAAGCUCUUGAAAUAGCUGAAGCUAACUUGAGUAGAGCUCAGGGUAAGAGACAAGCAAUUGAGGCGAAUCUAGCUCUCAGACGAGCUAGGACACGAGUAGAGGCUGUGAAUGUUAUUUCACAAUAAUCAAAAGAAGUUCUUUAGAAGUUCUUUAUUAUAAUUAUACACCACAUUUUGAUUCCGCCAAUUGAACUCUAGAUGAGACAACGAAAAAAGAAGAUGUUAACGGUUGAUCAAGCUUGAUGGAUUCGCCUUCUUAAACAAGAAGUUCUGGUCCUGGAGGAUUCACUGGUAGAGACCGUCAAAGAGCAGGCUAGCUCCAUAAGCAAUAUGAUUGUGCAGGCUACAAAUUAGAGAGUUCUAUGAUUUUGCCAUGGGCUGCAUUAGCCCUUACUGUUUUUAAUUUUCGUGAGGCGAUGUUGUGAAUAUAAGCGAGGCAAUUGGUUCUAUAUGAUCUCAUGAGGUGUAUGGUCAUUGUGUUUCCCAUACUGCAGCUUGCUCGAAAACAAUGUAUGUUCAUUCACAGUUUGUUCAGAUUGAUGAAAAUUGUUAUCGUGUAUUUUCAAGUCGUGGUUUCCACCUCUAGGCAACGUAUGGUUUGCAUUCAUUGAA